UUCUGUUAUCGACCAGAAACCCAAUUUCAUUCUCAUCCCUCUCCAACUCCAGAAAACAUCAAUACCUUCAUUUUCCUUCGUUACUCCAUCUUCCCCACCUCUUUGUGCUUAACCACCAUCAUCAUAAUCACCCUCAUUUCAUCAUUAACUCUCUCUCUCCUAAUCUUAUCUUAUCUUUAACAGUAAACCUAGAAGCUAGGUUUGGGAGAGCUGGGGUUAGAGUUAUCUAUAAACAGCUGGAGGAACACUAAAUUAAUGAAUUGCAGAGAAGAAUUGAAGAAGGGAAGCGUCAGAAAAGUGGUUUUGUGAGUAGAAACCAGCACUGCUUUCCGUCGAAGAAGACACCAGAAGAGUGGAUUCCUACCCUAAAGUUUAACUUACAAGCCAGGCCCAAAAAAUGUAGUGGUAUAAAGGGCAAAUCUGAUGUAUGGAAGCUGGACCUGCAUGGUUUGGCAUGUUUCUGGAGCUGUUAACGCCUUAAAGGAGCAUCUUUGAAGGAUGGAGACUUAAAUCUCACUACAUCAUUCUAUAUUUCCAAAUGGAUUGGUUGACCCAAAACCUGGAUUUUCGAUUGAUUCUGUUAGUCGCUUCAGCAUGAAGGGAAAGACUGACUGAGCAGGAAAUAACUUAGAAAAGCGCAGGAAGUAUUACAUGUUAUAAUUUAUAACAGGGAAGUGGGUGCUGUACAGUUUGCAGACAUUAUCUGGGCCUGAGUUUCUUCCGUGCAUUUAGCAGUCCCUCAAAGCUGUAGAUACUUCUCAGUGUCCAACGGAUGGUUUCUCGAGUACGCAAAUCGCAUUGACCCCAGGGUGUUUUUCAUGAUUCUCCACAAUAGAAGCUCCAGAAUGUAACUACCAGCUCAUAUUCUGCACCCUGGGCUCCUUUUCCAUUUAGUCCCUUCAGCAUGAAGGGAAAGACUGGCUGAGCAGAAAAUAACUUAGAAAAGCGCAGAAGUAUUACAUGUUAUAAUUUAUAAAGGGAAGUGGGUGCUGUACAGUUUGCAGACAUUAUCUGGGCCGAGUUUCUUCCGUGCAUUUAGCAGUCCCUCAAAGCUGCAGGUGAGAUCUUUGAUUACCCAUGUUAUCGGAUUUAUGCUGUUUUUUAUGCUCUAUUAAUCUAUAAUUAAAACUCAAACUGCCCAGACCUUAAUAUGGCUCAGAAGUGUUAUUUUAAACCCCAAGAAAUUCUAAAAGGAGAAACGUUAAAUCCUCAAGGAUACUUUCUAUUGGUUCUCCAACCCAUUUUCUCUAAAAGAUAAAAUAAUGCAACUCUACUAGCGCUUACAAGUAGCGGUUUUUUUAAUAUAUGAGAACUUGUGCUGUAGAUCACCAUCGCCAAUUGUAAGAUGCUCCAGCAUUUAAGAAUAAAUAAUGAAUUCAAGCAUCCAUGAGUUUCUGUCUUAGACAACUCGUAUGUUCUUCCUGUAUGUUCCAGAAAUUUAUCUUGUUACCAGUUCUUCCUGUAUGUUCUUCCAAAUGCUAUGUUUAAAGCUUGGCUGAUAGACAUGAGAAUGCUCAAAUAUAUUUGCUUCAUUUUUGCUUCCUUAGAGUGUACAAGGUACAACUUUUCCCUCUUGUUAUUGCUAGUGACUGUUUGAAAGCAUAUUUGAUUCAUGCAUUGCCUAUACUGACUCCCUCUUGUUAUUGCUAGUGACUGUUUGAAAGCAUAUUUGAUUCAUGCAUUGCCUAAACUGAACUUGGAAAACGUCGUGACGAAUCGUCUGUCCACUUUCCGUGUUCUAAUUUCACAUACUUCUCAUUGUCCAACGGAUGGUUUCUCGAGUUCACAAAUCGCAUCGAGCCCCAGGGUGUUUUUCAUGAUUCUCCACAAUAGAAUCUCCAGAAUGGUACUACCAGCUCAUAUUCUGCACCCUAGGCUCCUUUUCCAUUUAGUCGCUGUCUGCUUCAUCUGUCCAUCCUUCUGUGAAGCAAAUGAUCAUAGUGACCUUCAGAUAUCAAUUGCUCUCAAGGACUCUCUAGUCGUAAAAAUAGAUCUCCUUCCGAGCUGGUGCAACACAGAAGUUCACCAUGUAAUUGGUCUGGUAUAAGAUGCGUCGGUUCCAAAUUUCACGAGGUACAGUUUCCAUUUCCAAGCCACCUUGGGGACUUAGAGCACUGAAGCGUCUUUACGUCAGCUAUUGUUCUCUCGCAGGCACUCUUCCUGCAAAUAUAUGGAAUUUGAAGAAUUUAGAGUCUCUAAGACUUGGGUGGUAACAGUUUGUUUGGGACUUUACCUCUGUCUUUGUCCAGCCUUAAAAUGCUCACGGAACUAAUACCUGAUAAGAAUAGGUUUACUGGCAGCUUACCUUCCACGGUUGGAGAACUUGGAAACCUCAUUGAACUGUUGGUACAUGGCAACUCAUUUUCUGGGAAUCUUCCUCCGGGGCUUAAGAAUCUUCAGAAUCUGGUGUCAGUAGACCUGAUCAUGAACCUCGUCUCUGGGAAUCUGCCUCCAAGCAUCGGAAAUCUUAAAAGGCUUAUAUACUUGGAUGCUAGUCGUAACAAAUUCAUUGGAAUAAUACCUCAAGAGCUUUGAAAUUUGGUACAACUCAGGUAACUCGACCUUUGGUGGAACUCACUGGAAGGACUUAUACCUUUGGAAGUAGGAAAAAAUGUCUGUCCUACAAUCUCUGAUACUGGGAACAAUCUGAUACUAGGAACAAUAAUAUCCUUUGAGAAGUAACAGCCAUAGGAAAUUGGGAAACUGCAAGAAGCAUAAGAUUCUCAAUGUCUUUCAACUCUCUUUCUGGUCCUUUACCAGAGGGACUCAUGGGGCUUGAAGAAUCGUAGAAAUAGAAAUAUCAUUAGAUGAAAACACCUCAGUAGUUGUAUGUAUUAUUGAAGAUUAAAAAAAAAAUGUAGUAGUGAUUUCUCAGCACAUUGUUUUCUUUUUGAAGCAUUCAACACAUCGUUUGGUAUAUACAUUUAUCAUGGCUUCUUUUA